UACGUAGGAGGCAAGCGUUAUCCGGAUUUACUGGGCGUAAAGCGGGCGUAGGCGGCUUGUUAAGUCAGAAGUGAAAUCUCCCGGCUCAACUGGGAGGGUGCUUUUGAUACUGGCGGGCUGGAGUGCAGCAGAGGAAGAUGGAAUUCCCGGUGUAGUGGUGAAAUGCGUAGAUAUCGGGAGGAACACUAGUGGCGAAGGCGGUCUUCUGGGCUGUAACUGACGCUGAGGUCCGAAGGCGUGGGGAG
rnacentral:rRNA from 1 species